rnacentral:rRNA from 1 species
UACGGAGGGGACUAGCGUUGUUCGGAAUUACUGGGCGUAAAGCGCACGUAGGCGGAUUUGUAAGUCAGGGGUGAAAUCCCGGGGCUCAACCUCGGAACUGCCUUUGAUACUGCAAAUCUCGAGUCCGGAAGAGGUGAGUGGAAUUCCUAGUGUAGAGGUGAAAUUCGUAGAUAUUAGGAAGAACACCAGUGGCGAAGGCGGCGAUCUGGGUCGAUACUGACGCUGAGGUGCGAAAGCGUGGGGAGCAAACAGG